rnacentral:rRNA from 1 species
AUGAUGUUAAUGAUCAGGAUAGGAUUAGAAGAAGAUUCAUUGCAAGAGAUGGGUUUGAGUAGGCCGGGUGACACUCGUUGGGGAUCUCACCACAAAACUAUCAUGCAUAUUCUCCGCAUGUAUCCUUCAAUUCGGCUAGUUCUCAUCAAGAUAUCUAAAGACCAAACUCAAAGCAAUGAGUCUAUGCUUGCUGAAACCAUGUUGACAUAUUUUGAGUCAUUUGACUUUGUUUUCAUGGCACACUUGUUGCAAACCAUGUUUGGGCACACCAAUGACUUAAGUCAUGCUUUGCAAAAGAAAGAUCAAGACAUUGUUAAUGCCGUUGAACUCAUUCAUUUGACAAAGAUUCAAUUGCAGUUGUUGAGAGAUGAUGGUGGAUGGGAAACUUUUCUUGAAGAGGUUACUUCUUAUUGUGUCAAGCAUAAAGUCAGGGUUCCUCAAAUGGGUGGUCAGUACAAGCCUCCGGGAAGACCCUCAAGAUUCUACAAAAAUCUCACGAAUCUCCACCGCUUCCAUGUUCAGAUGUUUUUGGCUCUUAUUGAUAGGCAACUUCGAGAGCUUGGAGAUAGAUUUGAUGAGGUAAACACCGAAUUGCUUCAUUGCAUGGGAUCAUUCAGUCCGGUUAAUUCUUUUGCUGCUUAUGAUAAGGAAAACUUGGUUAAGCUUGCACAUCUUUAUCCUUUGGAUUUCACGGAGGAAGAUCUGAUGCAUAUUCCAUAUCAACUUACACACUUCAUUACUGAUAUGCGUAGAGAUGAGAGGUUUAGAAAGGUGAAAAAUAUAGUUGACCUUUCUAUUAUGCUUGUUGAGACAAACAAGAGUGUCACUUAUAACCUUGUUUACAAGCUUCUCAAAUUGGUCCUAAUCCUACCAGUAGCAACAGCUAGUGUUGAGAGAGUAUUCUCUUCCAUGAUUUACGUGAAAAACAAGCUACGCAAUAAAAUGGGGAAUCAACUCUUGAAUGACUGCCUGGUUACAUUUAUUGAGAGGGAAUUCUUCUUUGAAGUGAAGGAUGAUGUUGUCAUAUCUCGCUCUUUCAAGCCAUGA